AGGAACCUUCCUUGACCCCAUGUUCCCUUCUUUCCAGGGGGAAGGAAGAAGAAUUUCUCUUUGCCUCCUUAGUCUCUCAAUCAAGUUUGGCUGUGGAAUGAUCUCCAGGAGGAGGAUUUUCUUGAGAAUAAUUCCAUCUUCAAUCAUGCUUUUCCAUACUCUAGGCUAAUUUGUUCGCUCUUAUCCUUUUCUUUGCCUCUUCUUUCAUAAAAUACAAGCUAUUGGCCAUUGGGUUACUGUUCUUCUGAUUGCUUUUCAUCAAUUCUGAUCAGUAGAUGAAGAGUAAAAGUGGUGAAUUCUUCAUCUAUGCCAGUCCGUUGGGCGAUCGGGCUCUUGGGAAUUCCAAGGCAUUCGAGACAGAGGCAGAGCCUCUAUAUUUUUUCAGCCUCAGGUGAGAAAACAAGACUUCAGUUUAUUGUUGGGAAGAAGAAUGAUAUGCUGCUCAAAAAAUUUUCCUCUCUUUGUUUUGUCCUGUCUUUUUUAUUUGUCUUGUUAUUAUCCUUUUCUUUAAUGUGCAACAAGUGCUAAUGAUGUGAUUAUUAUUUUGGUUGCUUAUAUCUAAGAAUUUUGCUGAGAAGUUGGAUUUUUUAUUCCUAGGCUCCUCUAAGUGCUUAUAUUAGUUCAAACAUAUCAAUACUAAGAUAUCUGUAUUCAAGAAGAAGAG
rnacentral:lncRNA from 1 species